rnacentral:rRNA from 1 species
GAUGAAUGCUGGCGGCGUGCCUAACACAUGCAAGUCGAGCGGCAGCGAGGGGUGCUUGCACCCUGUCGGCGAGCGGCGGACGGCUGAGUAACGCGUGGGAAUCUACCCUAAAGUGAGGGAUAACCGCCCGAAAGGGUGGCUAAUACCGCAUAUGAUCUUCGGAUUAAAGGAUUUAUCCGCUUUAGGAAGAGCCCGCGUUAGAUUAGGUAGUUGGUAGGGUAAUGGCCUACCAAGCCAACGAUCUAUAGCUGGUCUGAGAGGAUGAUCAGCCAGACUGGAACUGAGACACGGUCCAGACUCCUACGGGAGGCAGCAGUGAGGAAUCUUCCACAAUGGGCGAAAGCCUGAUGGAGCAACGCCGCGUGAAGGAUGAAGGCCUUCGGGUUGUAAACUUCUUUUAUGAGUGAAGAAUAUGACGGUAACUCAUGAAUAAGCACCGGCUAACUACGUGCCCGCAGCCGCGGUCAUACGUAGGGGGCAAGCAUUAUCCGGAGUGACUGGCCGUAAAGAGUUGCGUAGGCGGUUUAAUAAGUGAAUAGUGAAACCUGGUGGCUCAACCAUACAGACUAUUAUUCAAACUGUUAAACUCGAGAGUGGUAGAGGUAACUGGAAUUUCUAGUGUAGGAGUGAAAUCCGUAGAUAUUAGAAGGAACACCAAUGGCGUAGGCAGGUUACUGGACCAUUUCUGACGCUAAGGCACGAAAGCGUGGGGAGCGAACUGGAUUAGAUACCCAGGUAGUCCACGCCGUAAACGAUGGAUACUAGCUGUUGGAGGUAUCGACCCCUUCAGUAGCGAAGCUAACGCGUUAAGUAUCCCGCCUGUGGAGUACGGCCGCAAGGCUAAAACAUAAAGGAAUUGACGGGGACCCGCACAAGCGGUGGAUCAUGUUCUUUAAUUCGAUGAUAAACGAAGAACCCUUACCAGGGUUUGACAUCCCGAGAAGAUUUACGAAAGUAAAUUGUGCCUUUUGGAACUCGGUGACAGAUGAUGCAUGGCCGUCGUCAGCUCGUGUCGUGAGAUGUUUGGUUAAGUCCAUCAACGAGCGCAACCCUUGUGAAUAGUUGAAUUUUUCUAUUCAGACUGCCCCGGCAACGGGGAGGAAGGAGGGGAUGAUGUCAGGUCAGUAUUUCUCUUACAUCCUGGGCUAGAAACGUGAUACAAUGGCAAGUACAAUGCGCAGCGAAGCCGCGAGGUGAAGCAAAUCGCACCAAAGCUUGUCCCAGUUCGGAUUGGAGGCUGAAACUCGCCUCCAUGAAGUCGGAAUCGCUAGUAAUCGCAGGUCAGCAAACUGCGGUGAAUACGUUCCCGGGUCU